AACCUUUACACUGUACGACAGUGCGAUAAGGGAAUCCCAAGUGCGUAGGCAUAGAGCCUACGCUUUUGUCCACCGUAGGGAGGUGGACGAAUAAGGGCUGGGCAAGACCGGUGCCAGCCGCCGCGGUAACACCGGCAGCCCAAGUGAUGGCCGAUAUUAUUGGGCCUAAAGCGUCCGUAGCUGGCCGAGCAAGUUCGUCGGGAAAUCCACGCGCUUAACGUGUGGGCGUCCGGCGAAAACUGUUCGGCUUGGGACCGGAAGAUCUGAGGGGUACGUCUGGGGUAGGAGUGAAAUCCCGUAAUCCUGGACGGACCACCGAUGGCGAAAGCACGUCGCGAAGACGGAUCCGACAGUGAGGGACGAAAGCUAGGGUCUCGAACCGGAUUAGAUACCCGGGUAGUCCUAGCCGUAAACGAUGCCUGUUAGGUGUGACUCCCACUACGAGUGGGUGUUGUGCCGUAGGGAAGCCGCUAAACAGGCCGCCUGGGAAGUACGUCUGCAAGGAUGAAACUUAA
rnacentral:rRNA from 1 species